GGCUCAGGAACUCAUGUUCUUAGCUAGCAGAGGAUCUCUUCCAGCUGCACCCAGUACUGUUACUCGCAGCCCAGAUGCAACCUUUUUCACUCCGGCAAAACUCGCAGCACCUGAGCUUUCACCUGCAAAGCAGAUGCUACCUCAGAUGCCACAACGUGUUUCGCCUCCUUUGUCAGGCAUUUCCAAACCGAUCUCCAUGGUGUCCCAAGCUGCAUGCGUCCCCAAGAGCGCCUCUAGCUCCAACAUUGACUCGACAGCGCCAAAAUCUUCAGGCCAGUUGGUUGUGCCUCCCACGAGUCAGCCUUCGUCGUCCACUCAUCCUGUGACACUAGCCUCCACCACUGCUGC
rnacentral:lncRNA from 1 species